CCGUCCAUCAGAGCUGCAGUCAGCUGGCAUUCCUGAGUUGCCAUAUCACUUGUCUUAUUUUACUUAUUUACACGUUCAUGUGAAAAAUUUUAGAUGUGUGUACAAACUGAGCAUAUGCAUACCAGUUGGUUGUAUACAAGAUGGAAUAUAUGAUGUGAUUUGCGUGAACCUUUAGUAACAAUUAAUAUGGCAACAUAUAACGAGAACAUUAGGUAGGCAGCUCCAGGGCCAGGACCAAGGGGUCUCAGUGCUACAGUUGACUCCCCGUAACGCGUAGUGCCGUACUGCAUUCGUUGCUCAACGAGGCUUAAAAAUGGAGAAAUACCUCAUAAAAAAGCGUAAAUGUGCUGAAGAAAAAGAAGAAGUUGCAGAGGACAUUAUUAAGUCAAAGCGUACAUGUGUCGAAGGCACUGAUGGUGACGUAACAGUAAAACCUGGUGAAAGUGAGACGUCUCGUCCUGGCCAUAUCGUGGAAAGUGAAGAAAAUGAAGUGAGAGUUGAAAGUGAGUACAGCUGUGCGGGUCCGAGCAGAAAAAGUGAUAUGACGGGCUUGAGAUCAGUUAAAACAAUGACAGGUACCAGCAAAAGUAGCCGCAGCAAGUCAUUUCGCAUGUAUAACGACAGUUACCUUGGACUUGGAUUCACUUGCUGUGAUAGCGAAAAUGGCCCUAAACCAAAAUGUGUUGUUUGUGGCUUGGAGUUAUCAAAUGAAUCUAUGACUCCACAGAAAAUGAAGAGACAUUUAUCAACUAAGCAUCGUCACCUGACACAGAAACCUAUAGAUUACUUUAAGAGACUCUUGAAAGAAAACAAACAACAAAGUCUUGGGUUUGAGAAAAAAGUGAAGGUAGCAGAAAAGGCACAGAAAGCAAGCUAUUUAGUAGCAGAACAAACAGUAAAACAAAUGAAACCCCAUUCAAUUGCAGAAUCCUAUUUUCUUCCAGCUUGCUGUUCUGUAGUGAAAACUUUGUUUGGGGAUGAGGCUGAAAAAGAAGUGAAAAAAAUUCUUCUCUCAAACGAUACGAUUGGCAGACGAAUCAAGGAUAUGUCAUCUGACAUUGAGAAAAGUGUGUGUGAACUGGUGAAAGAUAAAAUGUUUGCCUUACAAGCGGACGAAUCAACAGAUAUUGGAGGGAAACCUCAGUUACUUGUGUUCAUCCGUUUCAUUGAUGAUAAGAAAAUAACCGAGCAAUUCUUGUGCUGCAAAGAACUAAGUCAAACAACAGGACAGGAAAUAUUUUCUACAGUGACAGAAUAUUUGGUAGAAAUGGACUUAACAUGGAAAUUAUGUGUAGGAAUUUGCACAGAUGGUUGUCCAUCAAUGGUGGGGUCAGUAAAGGGUUUUGUGUCUUUAGUGAAGAAGGAAAAUCCAUUUCUGAUUACCACACAUUGUUUCUUGCACCGUGAAGCUCUUGUUGCUAAAACACUUGGACAAGAUUUAAAAUUUGUUCUUGAUAAUGUCGUGAAAAUGGUGAACUUUAUUAAAAGUAGACCAAAGCAGUCAAGAUUAUUUUCCAGUCUUUGUGAAGAAAUGGGAUCUGCCCACGAAGGUCUUCUCCUCCACACGGAAGUUCGGUGGUUGUCAAGAGGCAGAGUGUUAUCCCGUGUGCAUGAACUAAGAGAGGAAAUUCUUCUUUUCUUUGCUCUUGAAGAGAAAACAGAAUUCUGCGAAUUACUGGCUGACGAAAUUUGGAAUGCAAAAUUAUGUUAUUUGGCAGAUAUAUUUGAGCAUUUGAACAAGGUGAAUGUAAGUAUGCAAGGGAGAAAUGAAAAUAUGUUAACAUGCACUGAUAAAAUGCAGUCAAUGAAAGAAAAAAUCAAGGUUUGGAAAGACAGGUCAAGUGAAGGUAAUAUUGACAUGUUUCAAAAGACUGCUGCAGCAAACAACACAGACAUUGUUCCACUCAUUACAGACCACCUUACAAGCCUAGAAAGGAGCAUUGAAAAAUACUUCCCAAAUAUAUCUACUGAAAGUUAUGAUUGGCUGAGAAAUCCAUUCGUGCUCGAUCCCUUACACAAGCCUCAACUUAGCACUCAUGAAGAAGAGGAACUAAUUGAUAUCCGAAAUGACCGCACAUUAAGACUGCAAUAUAUGGAAAUGUCAUUAGAAAGCUUUUGGAUUGAAAUGGAAAAAACAAUACCCACAUAUUUCAAAAAAGGCCCAGAAAAUACUCUUGCAGUUUUCGACCUCAUAUUUGUGUGAACUGGGAUUUUCAGCACUAACAAAUAUAAAAACUAAGAAAAGAUGUAACUUGCUCUCUGUUGAAGAGGAAAUGAGAGUGUGUCUGUCAGCUGUCCCUCCCAACAUAGAGAGGAUAUGUAAAUCCAGGCAGGCACAGGUGUCUCAUUGAUAAGGUGGAUGCUUGUGACCGGUUGGGCCGCACUCCACUGGGGCUGGCCACCUUUGCCGGCCACUCUAGCACUGUCAGCACCCUGCUGCAGGAGAACGCCGCUCUCUCUGCUGAAGCCAACAGACAAGGACUGGAGAAUAAUAUCGCGUGAGGAGGUUGGUCUCUGCUUAGUUCGGGUCAUUGAAGAAACUGCCGUGUGUUCCUUUGACGCGGCGAGGUCAGAAUGCUUCACUCUGCUCUACCUGGCCGCCCAGCAAGGCUACCCGAACAUGAUGCAUUGGCUUCUGUCCCUGAAGGUAUCACCAGACGUACGUAACAACCAAGGCGAAACCCCGCUGUUUGUCACGAGCCUGGCAAUGCCCUCUUCCCCCCUUCACAUCACAAGGCACUGGGGUCAGGUCAGGUCAGGUGAACUUGAAAUCGUACAACAGCUUCCCCCCCACACAGGCCUACCAAGACCUGCCAGCACCAUAUGAGGGACAUGGAGAUCAGAAAAUAUUAUGACCUUAAGCACAUUGGUGAUGAGGGUCACGAUCACCAACGUCAUGGAGGCCAUACUUGAGUCGGCCUUUCAGUUAAUUCUGCAGCUGUAUAUUGUUGGGACGCAUUACACUGAGCUGGACCAGGCUUAUGAUGUGACACUGGGCAGCAUCCUAUCUUUGUCACCACUGGGCCACAACACCCAGCUCUCAAAACAGGUGUUCUCUGUCCUCAUCUCCCUCGUGUCCCUCACCUGGUCCUUCACGUCCUACCACAGGUUCUCAAAACUCAGAGGGAUGACUAUUUUAGACACACUGCCCCUCCUGUUCACAAUAUUCUUCCAGGUGGUGUCCCGCGCCAUCGCCUGUACAGUGUUCACUCUGGCACACACGUGGAAGGUGUUUGUGGUGUUGGGUGUACACUUUGUGAUGGUGCUGGUAUUUAAACUCAAGCUGGAGGAGAGGUAGAAGGCCGGCCGUCAGAGAGCCUGCGCACCAAGACAGCUGGAUUGUGGGUGAGGACAGAGUAUCCGAAAGGGUGGAGGGGGGCUGGCCAGUGUGAUAGGGGGCCUCACACCCUCCACCCAUUACCUGGUGCAGGUGACUGCUUACAACUCUGCUAGGAGCUACUCCAGGGCUACUCUACCACCAUCCCCCUUCCUGGAGGCCCCUCCUCCCCUGGGUUAGUGAUGCCCGGGGUGGCCACGACAGAUGUGAGGGUCCUGCUCCCCAUGGUUGCCUCCUGCCUCGCCCUGCUGGCCGCUCUUGUCACUGUUUGUGUUUGCGUCAGGAAGAAGCCCCCCCUGCCCCUCCAGCAGGUGUCCAGGGAUGGGAACAAAGUAGGUGUGCAGGAGAACAAGGAUAACCACAAACACAGGGAGCAGUUUUAUGCCACAGUGUGCAAGAUGUCACCCCACAGGGACCCCACUGCUGUUGACCGAAUCCCUGGUAAGCAAGAGAACUCAUCCUUCAGGCCACGCUGGGUUCCCAACGACAGGUGAGGUGGAGCAGGCGGCCUCCUCCAUGCGCGAUGGAGGGCUGUCACUCACUGCCAGAUGUGUCGUCAGUAUUGAUGUCUUUCUCGUGACAUCCCGCCCGUGAGGCACUGAACAGAGGGCAUGCAGCGUGGUGUGCCCGGGAGGAGGCGCCAACGUGGAGGAAUGUACAUAUGCAACAACCGCAGCCACACUGCAGUACUCUUGGGUUAACCCGACGUCGAGGAGUUAAGAGCAAAGGAGCAGCAUGGUUGGGCUAUCCAACAUCAGAACAGUAUAUGAAUAUGGCAAAUGCUGUUUUGACAUCAUUUCCUGCCAUCCUGAGAAACAGUGAUCUCAAGGAGCAUGAAUUGCAGCUGCAAUGGAAAUUGCACAUCCAGCGCAAGUUUCAGAAUUCAAGGAAGAGGCAGGAUUCCUCAGUGACUGAGGUCAGACAUCAAGGAAAAAGAAGAUCCCUUGCAUAGCGCCAAAAGAGACUACGUGUCCACUGAUGUAUGGAGUAAAGGUUUACCUUCCACCAAGGCCCCAUUCAGAAGAUGAUGAGUCAUUAGAGAGACAUAGACAGUGGCUUGCUCUACAUUGGAUGAAGAAAGAUCCCGAGUUAGAUAAGAUAAUCAAGCAGUUCCUGAGAUUAGAACCACAAGCGGAUGAACCAGACCCAAGAGUAGCAGUUUUGAAAGGGCUGGAGAAAUAUAGGCUCCCAAUAAUUGCCAUUCUCAAAAAAAGGAAAGCAGUUCCUCUGUAUAUGGAAACCUUACUUGAACUCUAUGACCAUGAUGAAAGUCAAUGUACCAGAAGAAGAACUAAGAACAGGGCAGUCUAGUGUGUCCAUUCAACAUGUUGGGGACAUACUUGUCAGACAGAUUUUGUGUAUUAUUUGAUGGUGCACCUGUAGCUGAACCAACAUGUAUUUCUAUGGCUGUAGUCUCAUUGGUAGCAGGGCUUUAUGUGUUUAAUAUUGAACACCCCAAAAAUUGUGAACAUUUCCUCUGUUUCACAACAUCCCAUCUCUUAGGAAUCAAGUAUGACAAAGGUAACACUUCAAAAACAAGAUCUCUACUUGUAAAACUCAAUGAAGUAAAGACAGAAUUGAGCUACAAAAAUGCAUAAAUCCGAUUCUAAAUAUAUUAAACUCCACACAUAAUUCUCUCUCUCUCUCUCUCUCUCUCUCUCUCUCUCUCUCUCUCUCUCUCUCUCUCUCUCUCUCUCUCUCUCUCUCUCUCUC